UACGUAGGGUGCAGGCGUUAAUCGGAAUUACUGGGCGUAAAGCGUGCGUAGGCGGUCCCGCAAGUCCGCUGUGAAAGCCCCGAGCUUAACUUGGGAACUGCAGUGGAAACUAUGGGACUUGAAUCCGGCAGAGGGGGUGGAAUGCCACGUGUAGCAGUGAAAUGCGUAGAGAUGUGGCGGAACACCGAUGGCGAAGGCAGCCCCUGGGCUGAGAUUGACGCUCAGGCACGAAAGCGUGGGGAGCAAACAGG
rnacentral:rRNA from 1 species